UGCGAUCUAAUUUUUUCAAUC
ensembl:piRNA 21ur-6081 ncRNA